rnacentral:sRNA from 1 species
CUGAAGGUGCGAUUAUCCUCGACCCGAAUAGUAACAAUUUGAUGCCUGAGCAGGAGCCACUGCCCGUAGCACAACUGGUGGAUGCUGAGGGUAACGUCCAGCCGAUCACCGACGAUAUAGAGCAGAUUUUAGCCGCAUUAGAAGAAGGCGCAGACCCGACUG